GAUGAACGCUGGCGGCGUGCCUAAUACAUGCAAGUCGAGCGAACGGACGAGAAGCUUGCUCCUCUGAUGUUAGCGGCGGACGGGUGAGUAACACGUGGAUAACCUACCUAUAAGACUGGGAUAACUUCGGGAAACCGUAGCUAAUACCGGAUAAUAUUUUGAACCGCAUGGUUCAAAAGUGAAAGACGGUCUUGCUGUCACUAAUAGAUGGAUCCGCUCUGCAUUAGCUAGUUGGUAAGGUAACGGCUUACCAAGGCAACGAUGCAUAGCCGACCUGAGAGGGUGAUCGGCCACACUGGAACUGAGACACGGUCCAGACUCCUACGGGAGGCAGCAGUAGGGAAUCUUCCGCAAUGGGCGAAAGCCUGACGGAGCAACGCCGCGUGAGUGAUGAAGGUCUUCGGAUCGUAAAACUCUGUUAUUAGGGAAGAACAUAUGUGUAAGUAACUGUGCACAUCUUGACGGUACCUAAUCAGAAAGCCACGGCUAACUACGUG
rnacentral:rRNA from 1 species